UAAUACAGAGGUCUCAAGCGUUGUUCGGAAUCACUGGGCGUAAAGGGUGCGCAGGCCGCGCGGGCAGUCAAAUGUGUAAUUCAGGGGCUCAACCCCUGGACUGCGCUUGAUACUUCCGUGCUAGAACCUUGGAGAGGAGUCUGGAAUUCUCGGUGUAGCAGUGAAAUGCGUGGAUAUCGAGAAGAACACUAAGGGCGUAAGCAAGACUCUGGACAAGUGUUGACGCUCAUGCACGAAGGCUAGGGUAGCGAACGGGAUUAGAUACCCCGGUAGUCCUAGCUGUAAACGGUGCACGUUUGGUGUGGGAGUGCAACCCCCUUCCCGUGCCGAAGCUAACGCGAUAAGCGUGCCGCCUGGGUAGUACGGUCGCAAGACU
rnacentral:rRNA from 1 species